CCGUUUCCGGACCGCCACAUGGCCGAUGGCGUCUUGGAGGCGCGAGACGUGGUCCCGCUUCCAGACUUCCCACACUUACCCCGAGUCCCUUCCGGCUUCCCCUUAUAACCCCCUCCCGCGUCACCAAGCCCCGCCUCUAGCCACACCCCCUCACGAACCUUCUAGAUGGUACCCCACUAGCGCCCUCGGGCUCCGCCCUUGAACUCUAGCCCAGAUACUCCCUGUCACCCGAUUGGCUUAGAGGCUGAAGCGGCGAAGCCUAUCCCACCAUUCGGCGACCGUCAGCGUACGCUCGCAUUACAAAGCUAUAAGAGGUAACAUAAUAUUUCUUACUUCCAACCGGUCCGAGAGAACACGACUUCAAAGGCCACAGAGCCCCUCUUUGUGAGAGACAAGAUAAUGUAACACCCCAGCCACAAGGGAAGGGGGGGGGGGGAAGAAUGCAACCGGGCAAAAGGAACCCCUCCCUCCUUCCAGAUUAAUUAUUGAAAUCAGAACACACACGUACACCAGACGAACAACUUUCCCCACAAGCUAAGAGCAAAAUCAAAGGAAUUCCGGUCCUUUGUGAGAGGGCGAGCCAAGGGGAGAGAAUUUCAGAUAUAAGCAGAAACACGACACACACAGUUCAGUACUGCAAGCGGCAGGCUCCGGGAAUCUGCCCCCGUGACAGGCACAUCGAUAGGGAGUGGCAUCAGCAGAAGCCAUGAGUCGCAGAGUUCGUCUUUUGUUUUUCGUUUUGUGUAUUGUUUCUUUCACCAUUGAGAGCAUAACCAGCGCAACCGAGCAAGAGUGUUGGCAUCGUUGACCAGCGGACGCGCUGCGAGCGCAAUCGUGCCUCGCCAGAGAGCACCGAGCAAAAGUGUCGGCACCGUCGACCUGCGGACGAGCUGCGAGCGCAAUCGUGUCUCGCCAGCGAGCACGGAGCAGGAGAGAGAGCGCAUAACCAGCGCAACCGAGCAAGUGUUGGCAUCGCUGACCUGCGGACGCGCUGCGAGCACAAUCGUGCAUCACAAGAGUGCCAGCCCUGGCGACCUGCGGACGAGCUGCAAACGCGACCGAGCACCUUCAAAGACAAGCGUCGUGCCGACUCAGCUCAUCCAGCAGUGGACAAGGGGCUGCAGCUGACGCCGAGAGAGGGAGAGUCGUGUCCAAUCUUUCCAGUGCUGCCGCGAUGGUCCACUUUACUCCAAUGGCCUAAGUGUUGCUGCGGGGUCCACUUUCUGCACUGCUUCCUCCCCCAGUCGGCCAGCUGCCCAGUCAGACUCCCAGCCGCUCGAGCGUCCGAGAGACGCUGGUGGGUGCAGCUACAACUCGACCCAGGCAGACACCUCCCGGACCCUCGUCCCUCCCACUCCCAUCGCGUCCGUGAGAUACCGUGAGUACGUCCAAGGGGCAAGAAAUUGCGUAAGGAUUUGUAUAGAAAUAGGUGGGACGCUACUUACUGGGUAUUUUGCUCCGGGACACGCAGGGCUUUUCUUCAGGCGAGCCAGUAAUAAACUUUAGCACAGCGCAACGACGCCGUGAUUUCUGUGUGUGUGGGGAGAGCGUAGGGGUGGCGUGAGUGCGUGCGUACGUGUGAAGAGCGCGGGUGUUCAAUCAUACGACGAUCGCUGACGUUCACGUGCGCGCGAUCGCGUGCGGGUUUACUCAGUGCAUUUUACGCAGUGUGUUCGCGUAGCGACGAUCGCAUUAGGGAUGUCGGCGUGGUGUGUAAUUCGAGCGUGCGUGCGAGUGAGGCUGCACUGCGUAGUAACUCAUUACCUGCGCCCACGUUCGCGCAGCAGCCGCGCUAUUUUUAGCGCGAGCCGUGGCAAGCAACCUGAGCAGGCACGCGCAAGCACCCAGCCACCUCCGGACAUUUGGGGUAGUGUACGUAAGGAGUGAGUGGGAUAACCCGAGGCGGUGGGGAGCCAGCCACUAGCCAUGCCCCACAGAGAGGACGCUGGUGCGAGGAGGCCAAUCACCCGAUCGGCGGUCGCCCGGCGAGACGGGGCGGAGGAGGAGGUGGGAGAGGAGGAGGGGGGCAUCAGCCCCCACAUAAUGGAGGAGGCCGCAUAUUACCUUGAGUAAUUUUGAAGACAAUUUUUUUUUACCUUGGUCUGUGAGGAGGCGUUCCGGGGCUCCUUUACCCAGAAUGUACCCGUGUAAGAAAGCAUGGUAAUCGUAGCAGCCGACUGGUCCGGCACGGGCCAAGCCAUCGGCAACCAAGAAAGGCACUCGAUGACCCGGGAUACACGGAUUGAUUUCAAUGGAGGGCAGGCCGCUUUCGGCGGCGGUUUCCGUGACGCCACUGCUUCCUGGAGCUUCCUCGACCCUGGACCCUCUUAGACCUUACUGGUCCCGAGAGCCUCCUUCCCUCCUUGAUGCUCCUGGACCCUGAUGGAUCCUGGACCCUGUUAGACCCUGGAGCCUCUUGGACCCUGAACCCUGGACAUUCCUGGACCCUCCUGGAUGCUUCCUGGACCCUGGACCCUCCUGGAUCCUGUACCCUCCUGAACUCCGGACCCGCCACUUAACCCCCAGGGGUCUGCGUACCCUCCGUUGUGAGCCACUGCUUAGUCGAGAGCUCGCUCUCAUGGAGACCCUUCCAUCAGGAGUAGGGAAUUCGCAAGAAGAAAAGUGAAGACAUUUUAUUGGUGCACCUUUACAUUUCUGUUAUAGACUUACCAUACACACCGAUGGCAUUGUACAGUGUAAUAAUUGGGACUUUAUACGGGAUCUACAUAUAAUAGGGUAUAGCAGUGGAACAGGCGGUUUGCAUACUGCACUGUGGACUUCAGUUGAAUACCUGGCCACGAUCAACAUGAGUAGCGGAGUGGUAUCUGAACCAGUACUGGCCUCUACCCCUUCUACAACACGCACCAACCUGCAUGGUGAGUGCACGUUAGUGGUUUUAUUGUACUAUACAAUAAAAUGCAAACUGCUUGUGACCGAAUGACAUUGGAUGGUCUUCAUCUUGCGGUGGACUUCCACAAAGUUGUAAGUUAUUUAUGAAUCGUUAUGUUUCGUCUGUAGAAGGAGAGGUUAAAAGGAUCGUUUGUAAUGUAUACAAUGAUAGAAUUUGUCGUCUACAUGAGUUGGCACGCAAUACAUCGGCCACAAAGUGUCCAUGUAAUGCUAGUCAUGAUCCAAAGAAUAUAUUUGGAAACACCUCCAGACAAAAAUAUUGUACGUACACAAAGGAUAACAUCUUCUGUGGGAAUUUUAUUUAUUUAAACGCAAACUCAUUGUGAAUAUGAUUUUAAUUUUGGAUUUUUUUUUAAGUGUAGUUUUAAAAGUUUUUCACACAUAUAUUUGAUGGAAAAUAUUCUGUCUCUGAAACAGUGAUGUACAGUACAAUAUUGUGGUGUACAGUAUUGUGGUGUACAGUGAUGUACAUUAUUGUAGUUUCCAAAUUGCCUAUUUUCAGUCAGAAGGUGAACAAGUAUGGUGGUGGGUGCUCUCAUUCCACUACACUGUUACACUGUAUAUAUACAGUUUCUCAUAAAAUUACUUUGAAUUACAAUCGUAACAGAACAUCUAAGAACUGCGUGUAAUGAUAAUUUUUAUUUAUUUAACAUUAAAUGCAACAAAAUGGA